UCGGUGAUUGGCGAUAGAUCAUUCAAGUUUCUGACCUAUCAGCUUUCGACGGUAGUGUAUUGGACUACCGUGGCAGUGACGGGUAACGGGGAAUUAGGGUUCGAUUCCGGAGAGGGAGCCUGAGAAACGGCUACCACAUCUAAGGAAGGCAGCAGGCGCGCAAAUUACCCAAUCCUGACUCAGGGAGGUAGUGACAAGAAAUAACAACACUGGAAAUUGUAUUUCUAGUGAUUGGAAUGAUGGGAAUCCAAACCCCUUUCAGAGUAACAAUUGGAGGGCAAGUCUGGUGCCAGCAGCCGCGGUAAUUCCAGCUCCAAUAGCGUAUAUUAAAGUUGUUGCAGUUAAAAAGCUCGUAGUUGGAUAUCUGCUGGAAGCAAUCAGUCCGCCCUUUUCGUAAGGGUGUGCACUUGAUGAAUUCUGGCAUGAUUUCAUCCUAAUAAUAAUAUAUUAUUAUAUUAGGUUGAUUCCUAGUAUAAUAAUAUUUAUUAUUAUGGGGAUGACAGUUACUUUGAGAAAAUUAGAGUGUUUGAAGCAGGCUUUUGUUGCCUUGAAUACUGCAGCAUGGAAUAACAAUAUAGGAUUUCGGUUCUAUUAUUUUGUUGGUUUUUUCUGUAGGACUGAAAUAAUGAUUAAUAGGGACAGUUGGGGGCAUUCGUAUUUAACUGUCAGAGGUGAAAUUCUUAGAUUUGUUAAAGACGAACUACUGCGAAAGCAUUUGCCAAAGAUGUUUUCAUUAAUCAAGAACGAAAGUUAGGGGCUCGAAGACGAUCAGAUACCGUCGUAGUCUUAACCAUAAACUAUGCCGACUAGAGAUAGGAAAAUGUCACAUUGUUGACUUCUCCUGCAC
rnacentral:rRNA from 1 species